GAUGAAGAACGUAGCGAAAUGCGAUAAGUAAUGUGAAUUGCAGAAUUCAGUGAAUCAUCGAAUCUUUGAACGCACAUUGCGCCCCUUGGUAUUCCGGGGGGCAUGCCUGUUCGAGCGUCAUUAUAACCCCUCAAGCACGGCUUGUGUGUUGGGCCCCGCCCCCCGAUCCCGGGGGGCGGGCCCGAAAGGCAGCGGCGGCACCGCGUCCGGUCCUCGAGCGUAUGGGGCUUUGUCACCCGCUCUGUAGGCCCGGCCGGCGCCUGCCGAUCAACCAAACUUUUUUCCAGGUUGACCUCGGAUCAGGUAGGGAUACCCGCUGAACUUAAGCAUAUCAAUAAGCGGAGGA
rnacentral:misc_RNA from 1 species